rnacentral:rRNA from 1 species
CCUACGGGUGGCUGCAGUGGGGGAUAUUGCACAAUGGGGGAACCCUGAUGCAGCGACGCCGCGUGGGUGAAGAAGCGCCCCGGCCCGUAAAGCCCUGUCAGCAGGGAAGAAAAAGACCGUACCUGGAGAAGAACCCCCGGCUAACUACGGGCCAGCAGCCGCGGGAAUACGGCGGGGGGCAGCGUUAGCCGGGUUUACUGGGGGUAAAGGGGGCGCAGACGGCGAUGCAAGGCAGGAGUGAAAGCCCCGGGCCCAACCCCGGGACUGCGGUUGGAACUGCGUGGCUGGAGUGCAGGAGGGGCAGGCGGAAUUCGUGGUGUAGCGGUGAAAUGCGUAGAUAUCAGGAGGAACACCGGUGGCGAAGGCGGCCUGCUGGACUGCAACUGACGUUGAGGCCCGAAAGCGUGGGGAGCAAACAGGAUUAGAUACCCGUGUAGUC